UACAGAGAGGGCAAGCGUUGUCCGGAAUUACUGGGCGUAAAGCGCACGUAGGCGGCGAUUUAAGUCAGAGGUGAAAGCCCGGGGCUCAACCCCGGAACUGCCUUUGAGACUGGAUUGCUUGAAUCCUGGAGAGGUGAGUGGAAUUCCGAGUGUAGAGGUGAAAUUCGUAGAUAUUCGGAAGAACACCAGUGGCGAAGGCGGCUCACUGGACAGGUAUUGACGCUGAGGUGCGAAAGCGUGGGGAGCAAACAGG
rnacentral:rRNA from 1 species